rnacentral:rRNA from 1 species
AGUGAACGCUGGCGGUAGGCCUAACACAUGCAAGUCGAACGGCAGCACAGUAAGAGCUUGCUCUUACGGGUGGCGAGUGGCGGACGGGUGAGGAAUACAUCGGAAUCUACUUUUUCGUGGGGGAUAACGUAGGGAAACUUACGCUAAUACCGCAUACGACCUACGGGUGAAAGCAGGGGUUCUUCGGACCUUUCGCGAUUGAAUGAGCCGAUGUCGGAUUGGCUAGUUGGCGGGGUAAAGGCCCACCAAGGCGACGAUCCGUAGCUGGUCUGAGAGGAUGAUCAGCCACACUGGAACUGAGACACGGUCCAGACUCCUACGGGAGGCAGCAGUGGGGAAUAUUGGACAAUGGGCGCAAGCCUGAUGCAGCCAUACCGCGUGGGUGAAGAAGGCCUUCGGGUUGUAAAGCCCUUUUGUUGGGAAAGAAAAGCAGCAGGUUAAUACCCCGCUGUUCUGACGGUACCCAAAGAAUAAGCACCGGCUAACUUCGUG